rnacentral:lncRNA from 1 species
AAUUGCUGCACCUUAGAAAGAUGGAGUUUGAAUGCCAAUCACGUUUCAAUUUCUGCUUGUUCAUUUGAAUAUUCUCUUGGAGGCAAAGAAUGGUUGACCUGAGGAUGACCAAGACCUUCUGAAUUGGAGUUUAUCAUUGGAGGAUUAGACUAGAUUGUUGUGAAUUCUAUGGAAACCGGAAAGCGCAGACUGUUUGGGUUUUGAAAGUGUUUUAGAUUGAUGCCUUAUCGAAAACGAACAAGGAUAGUGCUCUUCCAACUGUAAUUAAUUACCUCAUCAAAGUGUGCAAGACGGAACAAAUCUCUUGGAAAUGCAACUUUAAAUCGGAUUGAAAGACAUCUUAACCUCAGAAGCAUCUAAAAACUAGGCAAUUGAACCCCUUAAAUUAUGCCAAAAAAUUGAACAGUAAGAAGCAUUCUUUGUGCAUUUAUCUUCGAAAGCUGAUGUGAUGGGAUGAACCUAUUGAAUAUUCAUGUUUAACAUUGUGAAUAUUCAUUGUUGUUUACAUUGUGAAUAUUCAUACUUUGUAUUGUGAAUGCGUAUAUUUGAAGAGACAAAGUUGUAUCUUCGGUAGAGAGUGUGCACGAGUGGGUCAUCGGUAUUCAUCAGUGCGCAGCAUUCUACUAGAAGGGUGCAACGUCUUCAAACAUUCAAGAACAUCCUUUCGGAACCUUGCAAAAUUUUUGCAGAACCGUACGGAAUCUUGCUGAACUUGGCAGUUGUGUGCUCUAUUGAGCCAUUUCAAACCAAAUACAUUUUUCUUGGAUCAUCUCCCAGUGUGGAUGUACUGUGUCCAGAAUUCACUCUGAAGGCAUUUGAAAAGAGAAGUUAACUAAGAACUUGUGAAAUAAAAAGAAUUCAAUAAACUUAUUGGCCAGUGUGAAACUUGGUCUUGUUGAAUUAUCUUGUUUGGAUAAAGCACACCGAGGGUACAGGAUUGACAAUCAAUUACAAUAGAAUUGAUUGAACUGGAAGUGGUCAGUCAAAGCAAGUAGAAAAAGGCUGGUGAAGGAGUCUAGUCUCCACUUGUAACUCGGGUAUUGUAUCCAGGUGAGUGCUGUAUGACUUUCGUCUUGCAAGAAAAGUUCUGUAGUGAUAUAUGAAGAUGAAAAUAUCAAUAAUGAUAAUACUAACGAUUGGAAUUCCUUGUGCUGUGCAAAAUUUAUCUGGAAGUGUUCUAUGCAUUAAUUUGAAUUGUAUUAGACCAUAAAUUAAGGACACCAUACUUAGUCAUGCUGAUAGUACAUUGAGUAUUUGUCCUCAAAACUCUUUAGGACUGCUAAGAUUUCAUGGAACCAUGUAGUCCUUCACAUUUAAGUUUUAUUUACCAUGGUUUCACUGAAGUGCUUAGAUACAUCUCUGUAUUUCAGCUUUUUGCUUUGAAAUGCAUCAAUUGUACGGAAGACCCUCCUUCUAAAAAAAUAGAUAAACUGAUAGAUAAAUAAAUAGAUAAAAAUUUAUUUUUGAGAGUAUUGACUCUGAAGUGAAAAAGAGUUGAAUACACCCUUGGAUGACCUGUCCUAUCAACUAGGGCCUUAGUUACUACCCAAAGGCCAUGGUUGAUAUUUAUAUAAAGCUAUCUAUGAUGAGGAAAUCAAACUUGACUUCUCUUCCUUUCUUUACACCCUUCAGUAAAAACCACACGCUUUUAAUCGUAAGUUAUGAUGACCUGUUAGAAAAUUGGGCUGUCUAUCUUAGAUGUAUAUUUAGAUGUAUAUUAUAGAUAGAUACAUUUUCAGUCAAGUGAUGUCAUGUCCAGUUUGGCACACAGUUCUGCAUUAUAGUGUUUCAAUUGCAGUUUGAUAUUUUUUUUCCAAAGGCUUGAAUACAUUAUUAUCAACCAAACGUCUUUCAAAACCAGCACUAAAAAAGAGAGAGAAUCUCGUAUAUGAAAUUUAAACAUUAUGAUAGGCUAAGAGAAGCUGAAAUAUUGUUUGGGUUAUCUAUUGAUCAGUUCUUGCUUAAAUAUAAUACAAUUCGUCACUCGUCUGGCAGAAGAGAGCAAA